AUAAAAACAUGCUUUAAUGGACAUAGCGAUGAUUUAAUAUAAAUGCUGAUAUAAGGUAUUUGAUGUUCUUGUGAUCUAUAUAUACAGUGUCGUAUUACGUGAAGUCUUGCUUGAAAAUGCACUGGGUACUUGGCUGUAGAAGGGAAAAGAAAAUUGCAACAAAAGGUCCUAACAAUCCAAUAGGAUUAUAGAGAAAUUGCAAUUAAACUUUAACAAUCAUAAUCAAACAUUAAGCAAGCUCAAUUAAAUUUUAUUGAAGUUAUAAAAGAAACACAAGGAAAUCCUAAAGAAAUAUAAAAGAAUAUUGAAGAAAACUUAGUCAAAUCCUAACAAAAAUCUAAAUAAAUCUUAAAUUCUAACCAAAUCCUAAUCCUAAUCCAACCUUAAUCAAACCCUAGACAAACCCUAAACAAAUCCUAGUCAAAUCCUAGUCAAAUUUUAACUCUAAAUCCUAACCAAACUCUAAUCCUAAUCAAAUCCUAAACCCUAAACCAAAUCCUAACUUAACCCUAACUCCAAACCUUAAUCAAAUCCUAAUCCAAACCAAAUUCUAAUCACAGAUUUGAAAUUUAAAUAACUAAAGAUUGAAUCAUUGAUUCUAAUUCAAAAUUUGUAUACUUCUUGGAAUUUAAGUUAGCAACAAGCAUACAAAUUUUGAAGAAAAUCGCACUUACCAAUUAGUGGAUGACCUCAAAAUUCCGCUCAGAUGUUGGCUGGCCUCUCCUUCUCUAAUCUAAUGUCAAACUUCUAGUACCAAUAUCUCCUUUUUCCACCGUUCGAUUGCUUUUAAAUUUUACUUGCAUAUGGAAAAUCAAGUCUUCUACUAAUAAAACCAAAAAUCUCUCCAAUCCAAUUGGCAAAUUGCUAGAUAUCUAAGAAAACCUUAUGGGUCCUCAAAACCCUAAAUCCUGAGACCUUAGCCCACAAAAACCUUCAUAUGUAUCAAUCUAGCCAUUCGAUUGACUUCAAAUCUCUUGUACAAAUUUACAACCAGCAUACCAAUAAGUUUCUAAAUUUUCACCCAUAAAAAUGCUACAAAAGUCACGAAAUUCAAAAAUUUAUAAAUCGGUUUUAUUUCUCAAAGAUCUAAAUUCACAGAGAACAUCACUUGCUUUGAAAAUCCCUCAAAAAUCCAAUACUGAUCCAAACGACACAAAAUCACCUCUCAAAAAU
rnacentral:lncRNA from 1 species